rnacentral:tRNA from 1 species
GGGCGCGUAGCUCAGUUGGUAGAGCAAGGGACUCUUAAUCCCUCGGUCGGCGGUUCGAGCCCGCCCGCGCUCA